AGGUGGCUGUGUUACUGCAACGUGCCACAGUUCUGCGACAGUCUACCUCGAAGAAGAAGUUUAUAGUCAAAACUCUCCCAUCUGGGAUCAGGAUUUUCUCUCAGCCUCUUCCAGAACCAGCCAGCUAGGCAUCCAAACAGUUAUCAGUCCACCUCCUGUGGCUGGGACAAUUUCAUACAAUUCAACCUCAUCUUCCCUUGAGCAGCCAAACACAAGGAGCAGCAGUCCUGCCUGCAAAGCCUCUUCUGGACUUGAGGCAAACCCAGGAGAAAAGAGGAAAAUGACUGAUUCUCAUGUUCUGGAGGAGGCCAAGAAACCCCGAGUUAUGGGGGAUAUUCCGAUGGAAUUAAUCAACGAGGUUAUGUCUACCAUCACGGACCCUGCAGCAAUGCUU
rnacentral:sRNA from 1 species